rnacentral:rRNA from 1 species
UGGGGAAUUUUGGACAAUGGGCGAAAGCCUGAUCCAGCAAUGCCGCGUGUGUGAAGAAGGCCUUCGGGUUGUAAAGCACUUUUGUCCGGAAAGAAAUCCUCUGGGUUAAUACCUCGGGGGGAUGACGGUACCGGAAGAAUAAGCACCGGCUAACUACGUGCCAGCAGCCGCGGUAAUACGUAGGGUGCAAGCGUUAAUCGGAAUUACUGGGCGUAAAGCGUGCGCAGGCGGUUUGCUAAGACCGAUGUGAAAUCCCCGGGCUCAACCUGGGAACUGCAUUGGUGACUGGCAGGCUAGAGUAUGGCAGAGGGGGGUAGAAUUCCACGUGUAGCAGUGAAAUGCGUAGAGAUGUGGAGGAAUACCGAUGGCGAAGGCAGCCCCCUGGGCCAAUACUGACGCUCAUGCACGAAAGCGUGGGGAGCAAACAGGAUUAGAUACCCUGGUAGUCCACGCCCUAAACGAUGUCAACUAGUUGUUGGGGAUUCAUUUCCUUAGUAACGUAGCUAACGCGUGAAGUUGACCGCCUGGGGAGUACGGUCGCAAGAUUAAAACUCAAAGGAAUUGACGGGGU